rnacentral:rRNA from 1 species
UGACUCUGUUCAACGGCCGCGGUAUCCUAACCGUGCGAAGGUAGCGUAAUCACUUGUUCUUUAAAUGAGGACUAGUAUGAAUGGCACCACGAAGGUUAUACUGUCUCCUUUUUCCAAUCAGUGAAACUAAUCUCCCCGUGAAGAAGCGGGGAUAAAAAUAUAAGACGAGAAGACCCUAUGGAGCUUUAAACAAAUAUACAACUGUCUUCACCAUUAAAAAUUUCAGAAAACAAACAACCACCCAGACAUUUUGAUAUAGAGUUUUAGGUUGGGGUGACCACGGAGCAGAAAACAACCUCCGCAAUGAAGGGAAAUUUUCCCCUAAACCAAGGGCCACAACCCUACGUAUCAAUAAAUUGACACUAUUGACCCAAUACAUUUGAUCAAUGAACCAAGUUACCCUAGGGAUAACAGCGCAAUCCACUUCAAGAGCUCCUAUCGACAAGUGGGUUUACGACCUCGAUGUUGGAUCAGGGUAUCCUAGUGGUGCAGCCGCUACUAAUGG